UAUAUUAUGGCCUUUCUCUUGCAUUUCAAAGAUGAUGGUACAAAAUAAAAAAAUUAAGAAACGUAUGUUUUUUUCUAUGUAUUAUCUUUUACGAGGACCAGCACCUGGGCGGCAUCCGCAGGAUCUUCCCCCGCCAGGGAGGGGAGGAGUACGACAAGUACCUCAAACACAGCAGCUCCCUCUUCCAGGAGACAGCUGCCACCAAGGCCAGAGAGAGGUGCACCAGGUAGACACACACACAUCACCCACACGUUAACAACAAGUGCCCAUCCACACCUGCAUACAACAUCAGUUCCAACCUCAGUGCAAUCCAUAAUGUGUGCAUGCAGGUUUACUGGAUAAGGGUAAAAUCCACAAAGUACCCCUCUGCCCCAUCCAUCCCAAUCCUCUGGCCGACUCCGCUCACUUCCUCCCAGGGUGACCCAGGCGCUGAAGGAGGAAGAGGAGGGGGUGGAAGAACGUCUCGGGGCUGCAGCUGAGGGCCAGCCUGCUCAGAGACCUGGGCAGACCAGGUGUACGUCACAAUGCCACCUGUUGUCAAGACUGACUUACGGCAAUAUAUAAGCAACAUGGCAGCCAAGUCAGUGCCUCUCUGAGUAAGCUGGGUAACCACAACAACAGCAGCUCUAACGGGCCCUUUGCUGAAAUGCACGUGCAAGGCCCUCCCCCUAUCACCCUGAGGCCGCCCCACCCAAGGCUGCCCCACCCUCAGGUAUGUGAAGGACCCAGCGAUUGUUUUUGGUAACAAAUGCCACCUCUCUUCAGGUUUUGGGCAAGUUGGUAAGACAAGGUGGGUGAAAUAAGAUUUUCCCACACCUUUGGGGAAACCACAGCAGCUGUCUUAGUCUUCAGCUGUGACCUAGUGUGGACGCAGCGCAAGGCUCUCACUCCAGCAGCCCACUUCCGGCUGCCGCAGCUGUCCAGCGGACACUUUGUGGUGUCGUAGGGAGUGAGGAAGAUAUACCAGGCUACAGACCAGACUGUGGUCAACCGCUGUGAUUAGGCAGAACACCAGACCAGGAAGCACCUCGUCGACAACAAGGCCAUCGACCACGAUCACUUAAGGGACCUGCUCAAAGAAGAAGCUAUGGACUUAGAUAACGGCAAGUCUGCUGACCCUUCCAUGAACCAGCCAAACCAGCCGAUCUGAGACUCGUUGAGACUAUGUUGUACAGGUCAACAUAACUACAGGCAUGCUUGUGGAUUGCAUGCUGACACUUGUUUUUACUCUGCCAAGAUGAUUUUGUCCAGAUGAGAAUGUGGAUGGAACAUUGGUUCAUCUAUCAAGCCUCAUCAAGAGACGUUACUCCUCAAUAAUAAUACCUACAUGUUUCAAGCAGACCACCAAGGAAGUGAAGGUAACCUGCCUAAAUGAUUACUGCACCGUGGCAC